AUUGAACGCUGGCGGCAGGCUUAACACAUGCAAGUCGAGCGGAGUGAUGGUGCUUGCACUAUCACUUAGCGGCGGACGGGUGGGUAAUGCUUAGGAAUCUGCCUAUUAGUGGGGGACAACAUCUCGAAAGGGAUGCUAAUACCGCAUACGUCCUACGGGAGAAAGCAGGGGAUCACUUGUGACCUUGCGCUAAUAGAUGAGCCUAAGUCGGAUUAGCUAGUUGGUGGGGUAAAGGCCUACCAAGGCGACGAUCUGUAGCGGGUCUGAGAGGAUGAUCCGCCACACUGGGACUGAGACACGGCCCAGACUCCUACGGGAGGCAGCAGUGGGGAAUAUUGGAUAAUGGGGGGAACCCUGAUCCAGCCAUGCCGCGUGUGUGAAGAAGGCCUUAUGGUUGUAAAGCACUUUAAGCGAGGAGGAGGCUCUUUUGGUUAAUACCCAAGAUGAGUGGACGUUACUCGCAGAAUAAGCACCGGCUAACUCUGUGCCAGCAGCCGCGGUAAAAC
rnacentral:rRNA from 1 species